UGGGCGCGAAAAAGCAUAGCUGAAUUGGACGCGAAUUUUUCGUAUGACCACGAUUCAGAGGAAAGUCCGGACUGCAGCGGGACAACAUAGUGGCUAAUGACCACGCAGGGCAACCUGACGAUUAGAGCAGCAGAGACGAGCGUAUUUAUUUACGGUGAAACGGGCAAUCUCUAUGUGCAGCAACCUCAAGAAUGAUUCCUUGAUUGUCCCCAUCGUUACGGAAUCGGGUAGAGGGCUUGACAUUUUGCGGCAACGCAAUUUGCAGAUUAAUUAUGCUUGCAACCUUUUUUGUGUUAUGUGUGGACACGAAUUAGGCUGAACAGAAUCCGGCUUAUUGAACGCCCAGCAA
rnacentral:RNase_P_RNA from 1 species